AUGUGGGGGGAGGGGGGAGAGGAAGGAGUGAGUGGUGGUACAAAAAUAGCGCGUGUGUAGGAAGGACUUCAGUACCGCCUGGAAAAGAGGCGCUGGAAGGAGAGUGGAGCGAGGAGGGGGUUGUGGCAGGCAAGCGAGGGGAAGAGUCCGGGUCUCCCCGAGGAGGUGGGUUCUCUGGCCAGGUACCUCUCGGUCUGGCAGUGGGGUAGGCCCUGGCGGGGGUGUGUAUUGGGAGGAGCUUGAAGGACUAGGCUCCAGUUAGGGGGAAGACGACAGGCAGUGAGGAAAAUGAGGGGCCAGGAGGAGAGCAAGGGAAGAGGCCUGGAAGCUGACAACAGAGCCUUGUCGUGAAAAAAACAAUCCCGCGCUCUUGUUCCUUGAGGGAACUCUGUGUUCUCAAUGGAAGCCAGGUCAGUGAUGGGGAAUGGGAGUGCUGUGGACACCUGGUAGAAGGCUCCGGACUUUGGGAGGGGAAGGAGUCCAGGACCUCUGCUAAUUGGAGGGCUCUUGAGUUGGAAAUAAGCUCGGAGAUAACCAAUUUUGCUUCCCUAUGCAGCGAAGACGGAGUCCUCAUGGCGUAGCGGUUGAGAGUUCAGCUGGUAACCAAAAGGUCGCAGUUGGAAUGCACCAGCGGUCCUUGGAAAUCCUAUGGGGCAAUUUUACACAGUCCUAUAGGUUCGCUGGAAACUGUGGUGGUGUAGUGGUUAAGUGCUACGCCUACUAACCAAGAGUUCGGUAGUUCGAAUCCGCCAUGCGCUCCUGGAAAACCCUAUGGGGCAGUUCUACUCCGUCCUAUAGGGUCGCUAUGAGUCGCAAUGAACUCGACGACAGUGGGUUUGGUUUUUGGUAUAGGGUCAAAGUCGACUCCACCACAACUGACAACGGCAACAGUCAGUUAAGUGCUCUGAAUGAAUCCGGGUUGGGGGGGAGCAGACGGUCGGGGGGAGGCCCAGCCCUGCAGACAGAAACAAAUUGAGGCCCACAGAGGGAGUGGACUUACCUAAGGCCACACAGGAAGGCCUGGAGUAGAAACAAGAUUUGAAUUCCUGAUUCUCAGGCUAACAAUCCUCUCUUCCUUCCCCACCAGCCUCCUAGUCCAAUGCUUGGUCCUGCUGUUAUGCUAAGACAGGGAGGCAGGCAGGGUAUAGCUACUGAAAGCAUGGGCCAGGCUCCCUGGGUUCAAAUCCCGCCACCACCUCUUAUGAGCAGACUUGGGAAAAUAACUUAUCCUUUCUGUGCCUCAGUUUCCUUGUAUGAAAUGAGGCCAACAUGAGUAGUGACUAAAGGUUGUUGUGGGAAUUAGCAAAUUAAUGUUUGUAAAACACUUAAAACCGUGCCCAGCACACACCAAGUGCCAUAUCAGUGUGUGAUAAAUCAAGUGCUUGACAACAAUCCUUGGGCACCCACAGGGUUCUGGGCAGCAUUUGAAGUGCAAGGGAAUUUUCAUUUCUGUGGAUGUAGAAGAUACAACAGCAGCCCAUACUAGGUCCCUGUUAAGAGGAAUUUACAUUCUCAUAGGGGAGACAGCACCUGGAGCAGUGCCUGGCACAGAGUAGGGACUCAGGAGGUAGCUGCUGACAGAGUAAGAGAAGAAGCUGAGCAGAAAGCAGGAGGCAGCUCUGUCACCCGGGCGCUGGCAACUGAACUGAAGGGUUCAGGCCCUCCUUCUUAAGGGCUCAGUGUCAUGGAUUGAAUUAUGUCCCCCCAAAAAUGUGUGUAUCAACUUGGUUGGGCCAUCCUUCCCAGUAUUGAGUGGUUGUCCUCCGUUUUGUGAUUGUAAUUUUAUAUUAAAAAGAUUAGGGUGGGAUUGUAACACCACCCUUACUCAGGUCACCUCCCUGAUCCAAUGUAAGGGGAGCUUCCCCGGGGUGUGGCCUGCACCACCUUUUUAUCUCUCAAGAGAUGAAAGGGAAGCAAGCAGAGAGUUGGGGACCUCAUACCACCAAGAAAGCAGCACUGGGAACAGGGCAUGUCCUUUGGACCUGGGGUCCCUGCGCCUGAGAAGCUCCUCAACCAAGGCAAGAUUGACAAGGAAAUCUUCCUCCAGAGCUGACAGAGGGAGAAAGCCUUCCCCUGGAGCCACACCUUGAAUUUGGACUUGUAACCGACUAGAGUGUGAGAGAAUAAAUUUCUUUGUUAAAGCCAUCCACUUGCGGUAUUUGUUAUAGCAGCACUAGAUGACUAAGACACUCAGCUUGGCCUGGGUUUCCUUGAAAAACAGGCAUCCUCACUGAACCCUGGUUUCCUUCCCAGGCAGGGAGGGUGGGAGUCCAGUUGGCCUCAUUACUGUUUUUGAGAGGAAGUAUCCAUCCUAGAGCAGGAACAGGCCUGGCUCCCGGGGCAGCUGAAGCAACAUAAACCACUUUGUCUGCUGCUGGCUUCUGGUGAACCUGGACUCUGGCCUCUGGAACGAGGAGGGCAAUGGGCCUAGAGGUGGUUUCCAGAGCUCUUCAGCCUGUUACUUGAUGGGAGUCGCCAGUUAUGUGGUGUUUUCAGAGUGAUUUCCAGAGCCCUUUAGCCUGUGACCUCAGGAAUCUCCCAGCCACGUGGUGUGAAGGCUGGGCCCAGAAGCUGGCCUCACCUGACCAAAGUUUGUCCCACUCACCUCUGACCACUUGCACAGAUGUGCGAAUAGAGCCUCUGCGAGAGGGAGAAGGUGCCUGGGUGGCAGAAUGAGCUAGUGCCAAAGUAAGGCAACGAAUCCAGAUCUUUUGAUACCAAAUACCUUACUCCUCCUCCUCACUCCCAAUCCAUCCACUCCUCGGCCCUCAAAUGCCCUGGGCACUGGGCUGGUUCAUGCCUGAAUGCCACCAUGUCACUGAGUCUCAUCCCCUGUUUACCAAAGAAAGUCAUCACGUAGACAAGAAAGCGAAGCUCAGAGGGGUGAUGCGUAGCCUGAAGUCUUGCUGUGUAGACACAUGACAGGCCAAAUUAGAAAGUGUUAGUCUGUGUUUGUCCACCUAAUGUUUCUUCUCUCCAAUUUCCAGGAAAUAACUGGGCCUAGUGUGUAUGUGUGAGUUAAUAUGUGGAAACCCUGGUGGUAUAGUGGUUUAGAGCUAUGGCUGCUAACCAAAAGGUCGGCAGUUCAAAUGUAUCAGAAGCUCCUUGGAAACUGUAUGGGGCAGUUCUACUCUGUCCUAUAGGGUUGCUAUGAGUCGGAAUCGACUCAGUGGUAAUGGGUUUGGUUUGGUUUUGGUUUAGUAAAUAUGUGCUACAGGGAAUUUGGCAAAAGUGUGCCCAAAAUUACCACCCCCCACCCCCUGGUCUUUGUGAGGAGUCCUGGUGGUGCAGUGGUGAAGAGCUCGGCUGCUAACAGAAAGGUCAGCAUGUCAAUCCACCAGCUGCUCCUUGGAAACCCUAUGAGCAGUUCUACUGUGUCCUAUGGGGUCGCUAUGAGUCAGAAUCAACUUGAUGGCAACGGGUUCUUUUUUGGUUUGGUCUUUGUGAAAGCCUAAAACCCAAGAGAUUGCCAGGGAGAAUUGGGAGAGGCAGGAGUGGGGGUUGGGAGGGCACUUUGAAGAAGCUGGAAGGUCUCAGAUGGGCAGGGGGGUGCUGCCCUUACCCCAUCAGGGCUUGGCGAGGGGUUGGGAGAUGGGCAAGGCUUCUGGGGCCUUGGUACCCUGGAAAGCUGGACCACAGAGCUGCUGAGCCUGGAGGGCCUCCUGGGCCGGGACAAUGCACACAGUGAAGUAAUACACGGCCUGCAAUCAGGCAACAGAUGUUUACUGAGCACCUGCUAUGGGCCAGGGGCUGUGCCAGGUCUAGAAAUUACAGUCACAGCUCCUGCCCUCAAGGCCUGCACCUUCUAGUGGGGAAGAUGGAGAGAUAAAUGCGUGAACGAAGAAAUACAGUGCAUGCUUUGUAGGGACAAGUGCUGAGACAAAGGCAUCAGGGUGAGGGGACAGAGAGGGAUGGGGGCUGCUAUCCUACACAGGAUGGCAGGGAGGGUCUUGCUCAGGAGUGGAAUUUCCUGAAGAAGUGAAAGCGAGAGCCACAGGCAGGCCCGGCAGAGGGGACAGCCAGUGUGGAGACCCUGUGGGGGCAUGUUGAGGACAGCAGGUGGCCAGGAGGUGGAGAGAGGGAGGGAGGGAGAGUGGUGGGAGAAGAGGGUGGAGAGGGAGUAGGGUCUCCCGGGCUACGGUCAGGCCUUGGGGUUUUACUCAGAGCAAGUCUGAGCUGCUGCAGGGUUUUGGGCAAAGGAGCUACAGAGAGAGCAUUUGGACAGGCUCCUGGAAGCCACCUCAAAUGCUGGAGCACUGGAACUGAGCAAGCUCUGGAGAGGAAGGAGCCCAAAGAACGACAAAGUUUGGGCUUCCCAGCAUCCCAAUGGGAUAGGACCAUAGAACAGAUUAAUUUAAUGGCUUCUUAAACUCUAAUGUGCAUCCGAGUCACCUGGAAACCUCGUUAAAUGCUGAUUCUGACCCAGUAGACCUGGGGUGGGCCUGAGAUUCUGCAUUUCUAACAUAUCCCAGGUGAGAUUGAAGCUGCUGGUCCAUGGACCACAUUUUGAGCAGCAAGGAUUUAAAGGCAAUUUGAGUCCCUGGGUGGUGUAAAUGGGUUAAGCUCUAAACUACAGCUGAAAGGUUGGUGGUUCAAACCCACCCAGAGGUACCUCAGAAGACAGACCUGGCUGGCGAUCUGCUUCCAAAAGGUCACAGCCUCGAAAACCGUAAGGAGUACAAUCCUACUGUGCACACAUAGGGUUGCCAUGACUCGGAAUUGACUUGACAGCAACUAACUGCAAAGGCAAUUAAGAAUAACCAUGCCUUGCCCACGGUGCCAGUGGCCUGAGGGUCAGUUGCAAACGCUAAUCCUUUAGGGUGACAUCUGAGGCCUUUGCAGGUGGAGCAGCCCCGGCCACUCAGCUGGAGAACCCCCACCUUGAAGCUGUUGCCUACAGAAGUCAAAUGGGUCUUUCCCCAAUCCACACAAGGCCCACACCUUCCCUGCACGACCUGUGAACAGCAAGGGGAUUAGAGGGUGGGAUAUGGGCUCUGGGCCAGCCUGUGAGGGUCCAAAUCCCAGUCCUGCCAGCUACAGGCAGCGUGGCCUCAGGUCAGUGACUUUUCCUCUCUGUGCUUCAGCACAGCAUCUAUAAAAUGCAGAAAAACAAACAAACAAACAAAAUAAAAACAAAGGAGAGCCUCUUCACAAGGAUAUCUUGAGGAUUAAUAGAAAAACUAAAUUAAGAGUCUGGUAGAUCAGAAAAAACAAAC